CCUACGGGAGGCAGCAGUGAGGAAUAUUGGUCAAUGGACGAGAGUCUGAACCAGCCAAGUCGCGUGAAGGAUGACGGCCCUAUGGGUUGUAAACUUCUUUUAUAUGGGAAUAAAAUGAGCCACGUGUGGGAUUUUGUAUGUACCAUAUGAAUAAGGAUCGGCUAACUCCGUGCCAGCAGCCGCGGUAAUACGGAGGAUACGAGCGUUAUCCGGAUUUAUUGGGUUAAAGGGGGGCGUGGGUGGAGUGUUAAGUCAGGUGUGAAAGUGUGCGGCUCAACCGUGACAUUGCAUUUGAAACUGGCAGUCUUGGGUACAGUAGAGGUGGGCGAAAUUCGGGGUGUGGCGGUGAA
rnacentral:rRNA from 1 species